rnacentral:rRNA from 1 species
GAUCCUGGCUCAGAAUCAACGCUGGCGGCGUGCCUAACACAUGCAAGUCGAACGCGAAAGCCCCGCAAGGGGUAAGUAGAGUGGCAAACGGGUGAGUAACACGUGGGUGACCUGCCCUCGAGUGGGGGAUAACGUCCCGAAAGGGACGCUAAUACCGCAUAACAUCCUGCUCUUGGACGAGUGGAGAUCAAAGCCGGGGAUCGCAAGACCUGGCACUUGAAGAGGGGCCCGCGCCUGAUUAGCUAGUUGGUGGGGUAAUGGCCUACCAAGGCUACGAUCAGUAUCCGGCCUGAGAGGGCGGACGGACACACUGGGACUGAGACACGGCCCAGACUCCUACGGGAGGCAGCAGUGGGGAAUUGUUCGCAAUGGGCGCAAGCCUGACGACGCAACGCCGCGUGGAGGAUGAAGAUCUUCGGGUCGUAAACUCCUGUCGAGCGGGAAGAAACUCACGAGGGUGAAUAACCCUCGUGGCUGACGGUACCGCUAAAGGAAGCCCCGGCUAACUCCGUGCCAGCAGCCGCGGUAAUACGGGGGGGGCAAGCGUUGUUCGGAAUUACUGGGCGUAAAGGGCUCGUAGGCGGCCAACUAAGUCGGACGUGAAAUCCCCAGGCUCAACCUGGGAACUGCGUCCGAUACUGGAUGGCUUGAAUUCGGGAGAGGGAUGCAGAAUUCCAGGUGUAGCGGUGA